AACGAGAAAACCGAAAAUCGUAACAACAGAGUAGGUC
rnacentral:ncRNA from 1 species